CCACACUUCUUGCAUAUCUGGGUCCUCCGGAGCACAAGCCUGUGGCAGAUACACACUGGUCCAGCCUUAACCUUACCAGUUCAAAGUUUGAGGAAUUUAUGACCAGGCAUCAGGUUCAUGAGAAGGAAGAGUUCAAGGCCUUGAAAACAUUAAGCAUCUUCUACCAAGCUGGCACAUCCAAAGCUGGGAAUCCUAUUUUCUAUUAUGUUGCACGGAGGUUCCGGGGAUCAAACCUAGAUGAAGGCACACAAAGCCUUGUUACCCAUUGAAUCAUUCUCUCCCUAAUCACCAAGUACUGUUUUACGGCGUGGCUAAAGGUGCUUCCUCUCUGUUGUGUAGCUGAGAUUUGCAGUUGCUUAUUCUCUUCAGCCAGCUGUCAUGACGCUCUAGUCCUGUGCCAGUUUUACCAAAAUGGAUGUCUAUGAGACACAAUUAAUGCCAAGUAAAUACUUUUCGCCAUUCAAAAUGAAACCAACCAAAUAAAAAUGUUGGUUUUGUCAGUAUGACG
rnacentral:lncRNA from 1 species